rnacentral:lncRNA from 1 species
UUGUAAAUAACUGUUAAGUGGAAUUAUAAUACACAAAUUGAAACUUUAGUAGCGAUUCUGCUGAUCGGCAAGAAGCCAACAAAUGAAAAGAAGUUCGGUCCUUACUUUCCAGUCGGCACUUCGACCAAACGCGUCACUGGCACUUCUCUCACCACUGGAACCGAGAUUUUCUCCUCCACCUCUUCGACCACAACGCGGGGGACCUGCUCAAUCCUCGGUACGUCCACGUACUCGAUCACUGGCACCAUUUCUGUGACCUCUCGCUCUUCGGUGAUCACUCUGCGUUCAUUAAAUAAUAUUGAACCAAUUAGGCAUUGGGCUACAUCACUCACAUUUGAUGCUUCGCAAUAGAAUUCGUGCAACGCAAACUAACCUGUGGAAAGUUUCAAUUCUAGUCUUGGCCACCUCCCUCACCACUGGGACACGAUCAACGUGGCAAACCUCUUCCAUGAUAACUCUUGUCUUCGGUACAAUGAUUAUGCGCUCUUCAUGGUGAAUCUCCUUGACAUAUUCGGUUUUCUCCACUGUUCGCAUCUCAGGGUACCUUUGGAUGACCGUCACUCUGGUCUCAAACUCCUUGGGCUGCAAAAGCUCACCCACGUUGUAAUUUGAACCGUGGUUAGCCAACCACUCCAGCGACAGAAGCAACCUUACACAAGCUAAUUGAAAAUGCUAUCGAAGAACAGAUAAGUACUCGUGCUGUAGCCUCGGA